UACGAAGGGGGCUAGCGUUGUUCGGAAUUACUGGGCGUAAAGAGCGCGUAGGCGGUUUAUCGAGUUGGAAGUGAAAGCCCGGGGCUCAACCUCGGAAUCGCUUUCAAAACUAGUAGACUAGAGUUAGGUAGAGGAUGGUGGAAUUCCUAGUGUAGAGGUGAAAUUCUUAGAUAUUAGGAGGAACACCAGAGGCGAAGGCGGCCAUCUGGGCCUAUACUGACGCUGUGGCGCGAAAGCGUGGGGAGCAAACAGG
rnacentral:rRNA from 1 species